GUGGGGAGCAGUUCCCAGGUUCGCCGCCGCCGGCGCCGGGAGAAUGGGCUCCGCCGGCAGGCGGCGGACCCUUCCUCGGGCUUCCGGAAGGUCCUCGUCGCCACCUUCUUUCUUACCCUGGAUGCUUUCUCCCGUUUCCAGGACAGAUUUGGAGGAACACGUUUCAUAACUGUCGUCCAACUGGAAAAGUCCGGAUAGCUAUAAGGGAGAGGACAGUGGUGCACCCUCAAGAGUUGGCAGUGCCGAGGAGUGCCCGGGCCAGGCGCAACCGGUGAUUCCCGCUGGCAGGCUCCUCAGAGGUUGCCAUGGAGAUAAACUCUCUGCUGGAGCAGCCUUGGAGAAAGAAAGGGAAGAAUUUGGCCUGCUGUGCUGGAGAGGGGAUGGCCAGAUGUCCCAGGCAGUGCCUGUCCCCAAGAACCCAUUCUCCCCCAUCUCUAACUCCUACUCUCCCAGGACCUGAACUGCCUCACCUCGGGGGAGGUGGAGGUCUGUGAUCUCCAGGUUCCCUUUUCCAGCUCAAAAUUCUGUAACUGUGACUGAGAAGACAUGUCUACAUGGUGUUCAUAGCUCUAUUCCUUGUCCUCCAAGAAAAUGGUUGUCUUUUUGUGCUUGACGACCUUCCUGCCCUCCACCCUUCUUCCCUCCCUUCUUUUCCCCUUGCCCUCUUUUUUCUCCCCUGAUUACGGCCCAUCUCCCAUUCCCUUGGUAGCCUCUGUCACCGCUCUCCCCAUGGGAAAUCAGAGGAGCAAGUACAUCCUGCCUGUCUUUCCAGUGAAUUGAUUCAUUAACUGGCCAGUCAUGCUAGCAACCUCCACCAGACACUGAGCCCUGCUUUGUGCCUGCUGGGGUGCCAGUUGGUCAAAAGGUAAGCUUCAUAUAACCCUGUAAGAGCUUUAGCUUCAUUAUACAGAUGAGAAACUGAGAUGAGAGAGGAAUAAUCACUUGACCAAGUUCCGUUGGCUGAGUGGCUGAGCUGCAGCUGAGUAAUCAGUCCCGCAGGAAUCUGAGUGCAGGACGAAGUUUCUGUUCAGGUGACAAUUCAAGGGCAGGGUUGGGGUGAGGCCUUGAAGGGCAUAUGCAGGGCAUGGGGGGGCAAGGACUUUCUGGACACAGGAAUCCCAGAGGAGCCUACAGUUGGGGGUGAUGGCAGAGUUAUAGCAGUGAGCCGGAAGCACGCAUGUGGGAACACCCGUGACCUGCUGCCCAGAGGCCUCCCAAGCUGGCCUUCUGGGGCCAAGGGCUCUCCCCAGAGCAGAUCAGUGGGGGCUGUGCAAGGAAAACAGGGAGCAGCCAGGCAGCCCCUUCCCAGAGGCCUCCAGGGACCCUGCCUGAUGCUGCAGGGUUGUAAGGCAGCUGGACAGAGUGCUCUCAGAUGGCAGCAAACCUGGUUUAAUUUCCAGUCCCAGGACCUGGUCGGGUGAGGGGUGGAGGGCGGAGGAAAAACUGGCUCAGGGAGGUGCCUCCCACUGCCCCCCUCCCGAUGGGACUCGGGGACAUCCACAGUAACACCCAGAGACUCGUCUCUCGGGCAGUCAUCCAAGCCACACCCCCUUACACCGGGGAGCAGACAGUGAGGAUGAGGAUUGGCAGUCUUGCUGAAAGGCUGUAAGGCAGGAAACGGAGACCUUGCCCUGCAAGGUCAGGCUCCCUGGUCAGGCUCCCUGCUCAGCGGGGGGGGGGGGGGGGGAGGAGGAGUCUGCCUCUCCCUCUCCCUCGCCCCUCCCCCUCCUUUGCUCUCUCUCUCUCUCAAAUAAAUAAAAUCUUUAAAAAAAAGAAUAGAACACAAUAGAAUAAAGCAGAAGAGAACAAAAGAACAGAAUAGAACAGAUCAGAUCAGAUGAGGACAUCAUACUUAUAAGGGGACUAUUGUUCCAUGAACUUGUUUUCAUUUUAGAGAUGUACACUGUGUUGGAGGUAAAGUCCACCCCCUCCUCACCCCCCUGCCCCCGACAGCGCUGUGUGAACAGAAGGGCUGCUCCUCUGGGGGCCAUGGCCUCAGUGCCCCAGACAAAGCGGGGGGGGGGGGGGGAGGCCAGGGGUGGGGCCUGGCCCUGAGGCCUCUGGCAGCCAAGGAGCCCUCCGGGCCCGGGGGCAGCAGGGCUGGGGGGCAGUGCAGGAACUGAGAGACCUGACAGCCAGUUGCGGCCGCUCCGCAGGGAAGUGGCACCUGGCAUAAAAUGAUGACCAGGCACCCGUGGCGGCUUGCCCCUCUCCUGUGGGCCCAGCCGGAGGGGGAGGGGACCCUCAGCCCGGCACAGGGCUGCCACACAGGUUGGCCACAGGUUGACUGCAUUAUUUCAAGGUCAUCCGGGCCUUUCCCUGCCUUCAGGGGGGAUCUGCCUGAGCCUGGGAAGAGAAAUGAUCUUCCCAGCGCUGACAAUACCCAAAUGCCACCUCCCUGCUGGGGACUGUCACCACACAUGGCCUCCUUCAUUCCCGGUACCACAGGUGAGGGUGGGGGAUGCCUGGGAUCCCCCAGGCCCCCAGUUAGCCUAGACCAAAGUUGUCUAUAUUCCUUAGGGUGCAGCCGCAGAGAGAUGCCCGUUUUACACCCAACACAGUGUAUACACAUAAUAAAGCUCUAAAAUGAAAACAAGUUUAUGGAACAAUAUUCCCCUUACAGGGUGUGAUAUCCUCACCUGAUCUGUUCUGUUCUAUUCUUUUGUUCUGUCCUACUUUAUUCUGUUGUGUUCUAUUCUAGCCCAUUCUAUUCUGGGAGACAGAGGAGGAGAGGGGCUGUGGAGGUGGUGGGCUCACCCACAAUCACCUCAUAAGACCCUUGAAGGGACACAAAUUGCAGCUGCCCCGGGUGAGCCCUCCUAUGUCUCCCCCGAGGGUCCCGGGGCUCUUGGCAGCAGAGACCAUACCCUAUUCACCCGGUAUCGCCCCGGGCUCUUGGAAGAGACUCCAAAUUCGCAGAACCAGCAAACCUUGGAGAACGGCCGUCAGUCCAAGCUGGAAGUGCAGGGGACGAAAGCGCAGCUCCCAGUCUGAGUCUGCUGCAUCUUUGUCAUUUGCAUAUUGACUCCCUUCCUCCUGGAUUCACUGGCCAUGGGCCCUUAGGGGCCUUAGGGACUAAGUCUUAGGUCCUAUAGAGGUGACAGCACUCAGGAGACCCCAGAAUCUUGGGCUCAGGGUCUGGCAGAUCCCAUGAGUGAAUAAAUGAAAGGCCCAUUGUCCAAGGGUAGGAGCAGAGGCUUCGGGGUCAGUGCGACCUGAGCACAGUUCUGAGUUUGUCGCGCACUUGCGUAAGCCACUUAGCCUCUGGGAGCACCAGUUUGCUUGUCUAUAACAAUGGGGAUAUUAAUAUCUAUUGCAGUUUUGAUAUAAAGAUUAGCAAAAGCGCUUAUAAAGUAAAAUGGUACAUCUUAGGAAUUUAAUAAAUAACACCUGUUAUUAUUGUUAAUAGUGAUUACAAUAAUACUAAAGGUUUCAGAACAGCUGUGGGUACUCCAAGUAUCCUAUUAUUACUCACAUUUGGGGGAGAUUUGUUUGCCAUUAUCUUCACCCUCAUAAAUAUCUGGAAGAGGAAACAAAUUAUAAAGGUAAUAAAUGGCUGUAAAAGGAAACAGAGCAUGCACGUGCGCGCGCGCGCACACACACACACACACGAAAAACAAAACCAAACACAAAGGUCCUUGAAAAAUAUUCAAUUUGAUUACAGCAAAAUUUUAAGUGAUAGUUGCAUUCUUGGAAAAUGAGCAGAAUGGCUCUGGUACCAGUCAAGGUCUAGUGGUGUGUUGGGAAGAUAUACUUUGAGUCUUGGGGGCACUCCCAGUCCAUGUACCAGAAUAAACAUAAAAAUGUUGGUGGAGAAGGAUAAGAAGAAUGGGAAAGGUGGGCUGUGAAAAUUCAUGCUAGUAAGAACUGGUGUAUAUUCUCUUUUCCUUCGGUGGAUGAUCUUUCUAGCAUACAUGACAUAAAUCCUAAAUGGCUUUGGGAAUUUAGUUUCCAAACUUAGUGUUGGAAUUCUGAUCUUUCA